AGCUCCAAUAGCGUAUAUUAAAGUUGUUGCAGUUAAAAAGCUCGUAGUUGGAUUUGAGGAUCGGCGCAUAGUUGACAACUGAAAGGUUGACGACAGGCAAAGAUCUUGAGACGACUGACGUGAUAGUGAUGCACUUGAUUGUGUAGACAUUGUCGUUAAGCGUCAGUCUGUUUACUUUGAAGAAAAUAGAGUGUUCAAAGCAGGCGACACGCCUUGAAUACUGUAGCAUGGAAUAAUGGAAUAGGACUUCCGUCCUAUUUUGUUGGCUUGUAGGGCCGGAAGUAAUGAUUAAUAGGGAUAGUUGGGGGCAUUCGUAUUCAAUUGUCAGAGGUGAAAUUCUUGGAUUUAUUGAAGACGAACUAAUGCGAAAGCAUUUGCCAAGGAUGUUUUCAUUAAUCAA
rnacentral:rRNA from 1 species